AAGGAGCUGUUGCUCUGGGGCAGGCUCUGAAGGAGAACAACGUGUUGGAGGAGCUGAAUGUGAGUAACAACAGAAUACCCCCUGAAGGAGCCGUCCGCCUCGCCGCCGGCCUCAAAGUAAACAAGACAAUCAAGUCCCUGAAUGUGAGCUGUUGAAAAGAGAUUGGUUUGGGCUUCGGGAAGCAAAGGGUGGCAUCGGUGGAUGAAAUGGGAUGAAUAAGUGGAUCGCUGUACUUUGUUUUAAUGUCGGCAGCCGAGCUUCUCAGGGGCUCGUCUCGACCGACUGGGAAAGAAGAGAGUGAGAGAGUCACAGCCUGAGAGUUUGAUAUCGAUGGGAGCUCACUUGGGUUUAAAUUGGAGUUCGGCUGUUUGAUUGUACACACGCAGGACAAUCUGAGCAUUUGAAGUGAAACUAUUCCAACUGUUGAAAAAUAACUGAUAUAGUGUGUUUAGUAGUUAAGAAGUUUCACAGCUGCAGUUUGGUGGAUUUCUUCACCACUGGUAAGAGACAGGCCAGAAAAGUUUUUUAAAGUUAGCAAAAGGAAUGGUGAUCCACUUUUUAAACCCAUUGUAACAUUUACAACAUACCUGUAGUAACCAGAGACACGAUAAAUACCUUCUUUGUGUGUGGCACUAUUCCAUAUUCUCAUAUUUCUCAUCUGUAUCUUCGGCCAGAUGAGCAGGAACCCCAUCCAGAACGCUGGGUGCUAUGGGAUCCUCAAGUCUCUGCUGGAAAACAAAAAUUCAGCCAUGGAGGCUUUAGACUUUGCAAGCAUCAUCGUGAACAAGGAUUUUGAAGAGUUGCAUGCAAAAGCGAAAGA